rnacentral:rRNA from 1 species
GACGAACGCUGGCGGCGUGCUUAACACAUGCAAGUCGAACGGAAAGGCCCCUUUGGGGGUACUCGAGUGGCGAACGGGUGCGUAACACGUGAGUAACCUGCCCUUGACUUCGGGAUAACUUCAGGAAACUGGGGCUAAUACCGGAUAGGAAUCCUUGCUUCAUGGUGGGGGUUGGAAAGCUUCGGCGGUUUUGGAUGGACUCGCGGGUGAUCAGCUUGUUGGUGGGGUAGUGGCUUACCAAGGCUUUGACGGGUAGCCGGCCUGAGAGGGCGACCGGCCAAAGGGGGGAGGGAAAGCCGCCCGAGCUCAGGAGGGGGGGAGGCGGGGGGAAAGUGGACAAAGGGGGGGAAGGCGGGAGCAAGAACCGCCGGGGGGGGGGGGGGGGCUGUGGGUUUGAAAACCUGUUGCGCGGGGGAGGAAGGGGGGGGGACGGUAAUGGAAAAAGAAGCACCGGCUAACUACGUG